rnacentral:rRNA from 1 species
GUUGUAUGGUUAAGUGACUAAGCGUACACGGUGGAUGCCUUGGCAGUCAGAGGCGAUGAAAGACGUAGUAACUUGCGAUAAGCCCAGAUUAGGUAGUAACAACCAUUUGAGUCUGGGAUUUCUGAAUGGGGAAACCCACKURCAUAAGYAMGUAUCMUUAMCUGAAUACAUAGGKUAAKGAGGCGAACCGGGGGAACUGAAACAUCUAAGUACCCCGAGGAAAAGAAAUCAACCGAGAUUCCGAAAGUAGCGGCGAGCGAAAUUGGACUAGCCCUUAAGCUUUACACGCGUUAGACGAACGGUCUGGAAAGUCCGACGAUACAGGGUGAUAGUCCCGUAGUUGACGACGUGUGUUCAGUGAAAUCGAGUAGGGCGGGACACGUGAUAUCCUGUCUGAAUAUGGGGGGACCAUCCUCCAAGGCUAAAUACUACUGACUGACCGAUAGUGAACCAGUACCGUGAGGGAAAGGCGAAAAGAACCCCUGUGAGGGGAGUGAAAUAGAACCUGAAACCGUGUACGUACAAGCAGUAGGAGCAGGCUUGUCCUGUGACUGCGUACCUUUUGUAUAAUGGGUCAGCGACUUAUAUUCAGUGGCAAGGUUAACCAUCUAGGGGAGCCGUAGGGAAACCGAGUCUUAACUGGGCGUUCAGUCUCUGGAUAUAGACCCGAAACCAGGUGAUCUAGCCAUGGGCAGGUUGAAGGUUGAGUAACAUCAACUGGAGGACCGAACCGACUAAUGUUGAAAAAUUAGCGGAUGACUUGUGGCUAGGGGUGAAAGGCCAAUCAAACCUGGAGAUAGCUGGUUCUCCCCGAAAGCUAUUUAGGUAGCGCCUCGGACGAAUACUACUGGGGGUAGAGCACUGUUAAGGCUAGGGGGUCAUCCCGACUUACCAACCCUUUGCAAACUCCGAAUACCAGUAAGUACUAUCCGGGAGACACACGGCGGGUGCUAACGUCCGUCGUGGAGAGGGAAACAACCCAGACCGCCAGCUAAGGUCCCAAAUUACUACUAAGUGGGAAACGAUGUGGGAAGGCUCAGACAGCCAGGAUGUUGGCUUAGAAGCAGCCAUCAUUUAAAGAAAGCGUAAUAGCUCACUGGUCGAGUCGGCCUGCGCGGAAGAUGUAACGGGGCUAAGUAGUAAACCGAAGCUGCGGCAAURURCUUUUGYAYAUUGGGUAGGGGAGCGUUCUGUAAGCGGUUGAAGGUGUGUGGUAACGCAUGCUGGACGUAUCAGAAGUGCGAAUGCUGACAUGAGUAACGAUAAAGGGGGUGAAAAACCUCCUCGCCGGAAGACCAAGGGUUCCUGUCCAACGUUAAUCGGGGCAGGGUAAGUCGACCCCUAAGGCGAGGCCGAAAGGCGUAGUCGAUGGGAAACGGGUUAAUAUUCCCGUACUUCUUACAAUUGCGAUGGGGGGACGGAGAAGGCUAGGUGGGCCUGGCGACGGUUGUCCAGGUUCAAGUGCGUAGGCUUAAGAGUUAGGUAAAUCCGGCUCUUUUUAAGGCUGAGACACGACGUCGAGCUACUACGGUAGUGAAGUCAUUGAUGCCAUGCUUCCAGGAAAAGCCUCUAAGCUUCAGAUUGUAAGGAAUCGUACCCCAAACCGACACAGGUGGUCGGGUAGAGAAUACCAAGGCGCUUGAGAGAACUCGGGUGAAGGAACUAGGCAAAAUGGUACCGUAACUUCGGGAGAAGGUACGCUCUYGAYGGUGAAGUCCCUCGCGGAUGGAGCURWYGAGAGUCGCAGAUACCAGGUGGCUGCAACUGUUUAUUAAAAACACAGCACUGUGCAAAAUCGUAAGAUGACGUAUACGGUGUGACGCCUGCCCGGUGCCGGAAGGUUAAUUGAUGGGGUUAGACUUCGGUCGAAGCUCUUGAUCGAAGCCCCGGUAAACGGCGGCCGUAACUAUAACGGUCCUAAGGUAGCGAAAUUCCUUGUCGGGUAAGUUCCGACCUGCACGAAUGGCGUAAUGAUGGCCACGCUGUCUCCACCCGAGACUCAGUGAAAUUGAAAUCGCUGUGAAGAUGCAGUGUACCCGCGGCUAGACGGAAAGACCCCGUGAACCUUUACUACAGCUUGGCACUGAACAUUGACCCUACAUGUGUAGGAUAGGUGGGAGGCUUUGAAGCACGUACGCCAGUAUGUGUGGAGCCGUCCUUGAAAUACCACCCUUGUAGUGUUGAUGUUCUAACGUCGACCCCUUAUCGGGGUUGCGGACAGUGCCUGGUGGGUAGUUUGACUGGGGCGGUCUCCUCCCAAAGAGUAACGGAGGAGCACGAAGGUGGGCUAAUCACGGUUGGACAUCGUGAGGUUAGUGCAAUGGCAUAAGCCCGCUUGACUGCGAGAAUGACAAUUCGAGCAGGUGCGAAAGCAGGUCAUAGUGAUCCGGUGGUUCUGAAUGGAAGGGCCAUCGCUCAACGGAUAAAAGGUACUCCGGGGAUAACAGGCUGAUACCGCCCAAGAGUUCAUAUCGACGGCGGUGUUUGGCACCUCGAUGUCGGCUCAUCACAUCCUGGGGCUGAAGUCGGUCCCAAGGGUAUGGCUGUUCGCCAUUUAAAGUGGUACGCGAGCUGGGUUUAGAACGUCGUGAGACAGUUCGGUCCCUAUCUGCCGUGGGCGUUGGAAGAUUGAAGGGGGCUGCUCCUAGUACGAGAGGACCGGAGUGGACGAACCUCUGGUGUUCGGGUUGUGUCGCCAGACGCAUUGCCCCCCUGAUACUUUAAGUAUCCUAAAGGGUUGUCGGAGACUACGACGUUGAUAGGUCAGGUGUGUAAGUGCUGUGAGGCAUUGAGCUAACUGAUACUAAUUGCCCGUGAGGCUUAACCAUACAACACCCAAGGGGUUU